AAACUAUUCUUAGUUCACAGAUGGUAAAACACAGGUGGUAGGCUGGAUUUGGCCUGAAAGCUAUAGGUUACCAGCCCUUGCUUGUUUUUGUUUUUGACCUGUGUAACCCAACGCAUUUUCCUUGAAACAACAGUCUCAAGAGCUCGUUUCUGAAAAAAAGGAUGUCAUGAUGAAAUGUAUUUGGAAAAUGCUGUGAUCUGUAUUACUGACUUGAAAAUUUACAAUGAGCAUUAUAUUUUAAAGUUUUCGAGAAAUCCCAUAGUAAGAAACCUGCCUGGCUUUCACCAACCCAGUGAUGCUUCAACUUACCUAACCUCAGUACUCCUUUUUGUCCCUCACAUUCCCAACCGUGCAAGGCCAAUGCACAGUUGGCCCUGGCCUAUUCUCUCCGAUGGCACUUGAUACUUCUUCUUUCCUUGUUAACUACAUUCCAGCCAUACUGGCCUUCUUUCUGUUCUUUAACCACCAUGUACAUUCAUUCAUUCUUGCCUUGGAUGUUCUUCUGUCUGCUGUCCCCUCUGCCUGCAAGGUUCUUCUGCAAGAUCUUCACAGGCUGGCCUUCUUGUUAUUCAGUUUUCAGCUCAAAUGUCUCCUCCCCAGUGAGGCCUUCUCUGAUGUGCUAUUCUAAAACGACUCCUCCAUCCAGCAUGCUCACCCGCAUGCCUCUGUACUGUUUUCUUCAUGGAACGUUCUAUGAAAUUUUCUCUCUGUGUAUGGGUACGUGUAUGUGUAUGUAUGUGUAGCAUCUCCUCACUGCAAUGAAAGCUCCAUGAGGGGUGGGACCUUGCCCCUCUUCUCUUUAUUAGAACAUCCUGUCUCUAACUGAAGUGCUUGCCACAUAAAAUGAAUGCAAUAUAAUUUUAUUCAGAGAGAUUUUAAGAGAUAGAGAAAGGGAUAGAGAUGGAGUAGGGGUGAGGGAGAGGGGGAGGGAGAGAAAGUAUUACACAGACCACGUUUUGAGAAAUACUAUGUUAUGCAAAAGAAAACACAAAUUUUAAAUUCUUACUUGAAAAAUGCAUAAUGUCACUAGCAGUUACAAUGCAAAUUCAUCCAACUUAAAGUUUACAUUGCAACUCAAAGGUUAUUCUAAGCAGCUCAUGUAAUUACAUCCAUCAAUUGCUGAUGUUUCUGUAAAUGAUUCAAUUUGUUUUUUGGAGAAUACAAGUAAGCUGAAAUAAGAGCUAUAAAAUUGCUUAUGCUCUUUGACAUUUUGGAAAAUACACCUCACAGAAAUAAUCUGAAGAGGAAAAUGGUAGUUUUUUUAAAUAGAUUGAUAUAAACAUUGGUUAUAAUAGCAAAAGAUUGGAAACAAUCAUUCUAGACUAUUAAAAAUGACAAUAGUGUAAAUUACAUCAAUAUCUGGACUUGUGUUUAUCAUACCAUAUUAAAUGAAAAGAGUAAAACACAAAAUAUGUGCUCUUCAAUGACACCAACGUAAAACAUGCACACUUACACUAAUCAUAGCUAGACAAAUUUAAUUUGCAAUAAAGCAAAUUACAUUUCAUUUCAUAUUUUUGUUGCAAUAUUUUCUCUGUAACAUCAAAAAGUUGACAAAAGAAAAGAGAUUGGAACUUGCUUGCACUGUGGAGGGAAAACUGGUUCUGUACAUGUUUUAAUUUGUCUGAGGAAACAGAGAAAAGACUUAAAUAUCCUGAAAUAAAGGUGGCAAAGCUUCUCCUAUUCAGCCUUUCGAUGUGAGUCUGGACCUGUGGUUUCAAAGGCAUUCUUAUUUCUCACCUAAUUCACUUUAUUGUAAGUCCUAUGAGAAGCAGAAGGUUGCUAUGUACUAUGAAGUAUUUACAUUAAGUAGGGUGCUUUGGCAUAAAUUACAUGGAAGACAUUUGUUCUUACAACCUUGAAUUUAUUAGCUUUGUUCUGUUGGUUUCAAAGGUUAACAAACACCUGCUGUUGAAAACUUUCAACAGCAAAAACUUUCUCAUACCUGGCCACUCUAGGAUUAGCUAAGGGGCAAGAGACUGGCCACAUAUUUAGGGAAGACACUGUGGUCCUGUUCUGGUAAGGAAUGAAUGCCAAAGUGCUCAUCUUAGUAUUUGCAGACGAAGCUGUCUGAUCUGCAGUACAAGGAUCCAUUGGUGUGUACGUGACGUACGUGGAUGAGCACUGGUCAAAGGAGAACUGUUAUGUAAUUAUAGCAUCCACAGCGUCCGAUGCACCACCCAGCCUAGCCUAAAAGUUUGUACUGGGAAGUAGGUGUCAUAAGGAUAAUGAGAAUUAAUUAAUGUUUAUGAAUAACAAGAUUCAUGGGA
rnacentral:lncRNA from 10 species